CCCAUUUGCCUCAGGAAGCUGAGCUCGUCUGGAUUCCCACCAUGGCCUGGGCCCCUCUGCUCCUCACGCUGCUCACUUACUGCUCAGGGUCCCUCUCCCAGUACACUCUGACUCAGCCACCCGCAGUAUCCGUGUCCAUUGGAAACACAGUUAAACUCUCCUGCGCCCUUAGCAGUGGAUACACAUUUAAGGGUGUCGUCUGGUACCAGCAAAAAACUGGGAACAUCCCAAGAUACCUUCUGAGGUACAACACUGAAUCUAACAAGCACCAGGGCUCAGGGGUCCCCAAUCGCUUUGCUGGAUCUAAAGACGCCUCUAAUACAAUCGGCUACUUAACCAUCACCAGCGUCCAGGCAGAAGACGAGGCUGAUUAUUACUGUGCUGCAGGGACUGCACAGUGA